UUUAAUAAAGGUAAAAAAAAAAAGUAAAAAGGUAACUUCACACUGCUCUGCUGUAUGUUUGAGGCAUCACUUAGCAAGUUCAAGUCAACUCCCUGAAUUAUUUAAUACAGACCCGUAUGGUCACGAUGAUGGAAACAUAUCUUUCUUCUCUAACUUAUCCUCGUUCCUGAUAACAGUUUCUGGCUUUAUUUCCCUCAUAUCACCCUCAUAAUGUACAUUCUCAUCAUGUUUAAUAUUUAAUCCGCAAAUGUUUUAACGUGUAGUAAACUGUGUCAGUGUAAUAUUAAGUGUUCUUCACUUUAUGUUCGAACAACUAGGUCCGUUUAAAAGGUACGUGAUCAAAUGCGCACCUGGUUUAGACCUACGUUAGUAAGUCUUUUGGUACUUUUAAUUUAUUUAACAGAAAUAAAAGUUGUGCAUAAAUACAUGUCGUGUUUGUUUUUGUUCUUGUUGUGGUAUUGGAAUUCUGUCAACAGGGAAAAAACACGAGUCCAUAGCAGCUGUUGGUUCUGGCUCCUCGGGUCCGUGUGAGAUGGUUCCAGGCUGAUGUUCCCAUUAUAGUUGGAUGAGAGAUGUUUCACUGAAGUGUUGAAUUCCCUUCCCCUUUGAGUAUAAAACCAUCCCCUUGGAUAUCCUUUGUCUGUUUCUCUCUAUUUGUCGCGUCUGAGUCCAGUUCGAAACAGACCAGAACCGGUGCCAUGGCCAUGCUCAGAGUGUCGUCGUAUCGUCGGCUGUUCGAGGACGGUAUCUGGGGCAGAAAAGGAGGGAUGAACUUGCAGUCUGCCGGGUUGUAUCGGGCCAAGAGGUCUGCUGCUGCUGCUGACGACUGUGACUGUGAUAAACUGGACUUCGGUGCUGCCAAAGCUCUGAACCUUGAGGGUCUGACUCGGUUCGUCCAGGAACGUUCUGAUCUGGCCUCCCUGAACAAUCGUCUGGUCAGCUUGAUCGAGUUGGCUCGUUGCUUCGAGCAAGAGAAUAAAUCUCUGGAAUGUCAGAUUGUGGAGCUGGAGGAGAAGUUCAAGCCUGGACCUGCUUCCUCCUCUCGUGUUCUCUACGCUGGGCCUCCAGCUCAGCCCAGUCUGGACGCUGUGGUGGAGAGGUUGCGUCAAGAAAAGGAUGAGAUUCUGUGCGACUCUGAGGAGCUACAGAAAGAACUCCUUCGUCUGCAGGACCAGUAUGAGAAAGUUGCUCAGCAAAGAAUUUUCUACCAGCAGCAGCGACAAGACAUUUCACAGGAAGUUGAUACGGUGACAGCCGAGUGUUUGGCGUUGAGAGAGCAGGCGAACAUAUAUGAGGAGCAACUCGCCAACAUGGAGGAACAGCACAGAACGGAGGUGGAGGAUCUUCUUGAACCGUCCGAGGAGACCAUAGCAGCAGCAGCAAGAGCAGGAGCAGGAUUCAAAGGGCCUGAUGUGACUCCUGCCCUGUUAUUGAAAGAGUUUUACUGUGCGUUGUCUGAGAAUCUGCAGUCGGAAUGUGCUGAAGGAUUCUCCGUACCUGCUGCGAUUCUCACCGGUGAAGGAGGAAAAUUACAGCAGGCUGGAAAAAUGACGGCUUCACCGGUUAAGGAAUUGACAAAACCAGAGAACAUCGAUGAGUUAAAACGUCUGAUCGCAGAUCUACAACAGGAGCAGUCGGAGCUGGAGAACUGUAACGCUGAGCUGGAGGACGAGGUGGAGAUGAAAAGGGCUAGGUUUCAGGAGGAGAUUUCUGAGCUGAAGAUGACUCUCAGUGAAAUGCAACAGAAGGAGGUGGAUCUCCAGGCUCAGAUCAAGGAGCAGUGUGAGGACUACCAGCAGUUGCUCUCUGAGAAGAUGGCCAGAGACCUGGAGAUCCUUGCCUACAGGAGUUUGGUGAUGGAAGAGGAAACCCGGUUGUGUUCCCUGUGAACGAGGUCUACAAAUCCGGAGGCUUCAGUUUUGGCUUAAAGUUCCAACACAAGCACACGAAUCUAAAAAGAUUUUCAAGGAAAACCCAGAAUCGGAGCUGUUGUUUUGGCUAAUACCUCGUUGUCGUGUUUGUCCCAGCAGAACGUGUUAUUAACAAGCGAGGCUGAACUGACUGAAACUAGAGGGAAGAGGACAGGUAUUCUGGAUCCAUGUCAACAGAUCACUGAGGGACGACAUUGACACUGGAAGGGAGGAGCCUAGUUGGAUAUCUUCCACUGAGGUUUUGCAGGUUUUUUCGUUACCGAGUGCAGCAGAGAUGUGUGCUCUGAAUGAAGAUUGGCAGCAGCUGGCUGAUAAAUCCUGACUGAAACCUUCUCAUUUCCUGAACCUGCGUCAGUGGAAUCAGACUCUCUUGAGCUCGGUCAGUUCUCCGAGAGAGAAAACACAAAUCAACGCUGCGGUGUUUGUGACAGCGUGUCUUUGUUCUCCUGUUCUGUCACGGCCCUGCAGUCUCCGAGGGUUUCCGCAAUACCGACAAUACUGUAGACCUGAGAGUGUGCUGACAGCCCUGACCCAGAGUUCACCUCCACCCUGACCCAGAGCAGGUGAUAAACAGCAGCAGCAGCAGCGGCGGCGGCAGAGUUUCAUCUUUAUCCUGACACCUCUGGUCCAACUCCUGGUCUUCAGAAUAUCAGGAGAUGAAGUGAAGCACUUAGGUUUUAAUUUCCCUGCAGUCCAAACACUCGGCGAUUCUGUCCAAGCUGCAGUUUUCUCUGUCCCCGAAAGAUUUAACUUCAUAAAAACAGUGAGAGUCGGAGUCGAUGGAGGUUCAAAAAGUCUGGACUUUAGGGAAAUACCAGGAAAAACAGACUCUGUGUUUAGAACGCUGUAGUUUUUUGGGUAAAUAAAACUUGAAGUGCCCUUAGUCCUCAAGACGGGGUCAGGAGUGAGAGAGACUGAGUUAGAAAGAUGAAAAAUGCCAAAAGGAUUGUUCUGAAAUGACUCCUCAAAAACAUUUAAGCAAGUACAAAAAAAUGCAAUUCCUUUACCGUUAGAAUCUCAUGCCAUGCAACAUCUUGUUUUUUUCCCAUUUUUUUCCUCAUAUUUUUAUUUUGUAUUUUUCAAUUUCUUUUUUCAUAUUUUUAUUUUGUAUUUUUCAAUUUCUUUUUUUCAUAUUUUGAAGUAGCCUGAAGUAGCCUGGCUCAAAUAGUGGGAAGGGCCCCGGUGAGGUGCCGAGGGGCCACAGGGAUUGAGGGGGCGGGGAGGAUCAGAUGGCAUGUUGGACAGCAGUGUGCCGCUGUUGUAAUGCUUGAACGAUAAACAAGCCUCCAGUCCACUAGGUGGCAGCGACUCAUACAGGGGUUUGUACAGAUAAGAAAAUACGUAUUAUCGGAUUCUCAAUAGUAUUUUGAUAUGGGGUGAGGACAGUAAAACCUUUAUUGUACCAAGGUCAGCUAGUGGUUAAAUUUUCAAAAUAAAACAUCUUUUAGUCUUUCUUCUGUUAGCAUCAGAGUCUGAAUGUCCUGUUGUUUUGAAACAUAGAUUAUCUUUGAAUAAAAAAAGUAAAGCGAUACGACUGGAUUCUUUUUGA